rnacentral:tRNA from 1 species
GUGGUUGCAGCCGAGUGGCUAAGGUAAUGAACUAGAAACCCACAGGGUGUCCCCGCGCAGGUGUGAAUCCUGCUGACUACU